AAGGGGAUCAAGGUCAGGAAUCCGACGCAAGCUUGCUUGCGGGAGGAUUCCUGACUUUGAGACCCGCCAGCCACAUGAGUAAGCAGCCAUUUUUCGUAAGAAAAAUGAGCGGAUUACGAAUGUGGCUGGGAGAAUCGCGGGAGCACGCAGUGCGGAGCGAUUCGG
rnacentral:sRNA from 1 species